CCCCUAGUCAGAAACCGCGUGCAUAAAAGCGUGGACUUCGAAUGCGUACUCUCUGUGUUCCGGUUCAGAGGUACGCGCUUCUUCAUCCUCGGUCUUCCCUCACUGAAAAUUUACUAAUUGCGACCUCAUUUUUCGUAAUCUUCUUUCGAAUUUGAUAUACUGUUCCUAUUUUCUUUGGUUGAAUGCUGAAUUUGUGUUUUGCCGCGUUUUGUUUGCUUGGUUACUGAUAAAAUGCCGCAAAGAAAAUGAACCCCAAUAUGAAGUGAUGAAGUCCAGCAAAGAACCACCAACAGCAAUCAAAAUGUGUCGAUACCAAGAUUGGGAAGAUGACCUACCAGAUAGUGAAGUUCAUGAUGAAUAUCCUGGCAGAGAUGCAGUGACUGCUUUUAUACGCCAAAUCGAACAACAAAUGAAUGAAAUUAGCGGAUUUUUGGACAACAUGAAAGGUGAUAGUUCCAAAAAGCCAAACAAAUUUUGGUCUGGAUUCUUGUCAGGCAUCUGUUUCACCAUACUGCUCAACUUUGUGAUCAAGUACGUAACUAGUAACUAGUAAGUAGUUAGGGCUGAUUUUGUAUAGCAAUUUGACAUCCCAGACCUUAUUCAGGUUCAGUGCACUUCUAAUGGCGUUUGUGUUGAGUUCUAUUCAUGUUGUGAAGAAACUCCUGUGGUUGUGGAUGUUUUGACUUGUACAAUUUAUUUGGCUGCUUUAUGGCACCGAUCUCGCCUUUAAUCAAA